AACUACCUAGCCGUCCAUCUCUCUCUCCCUUUCCCAUUUUCUCUCCCUGCCCCACGAUGCACGCAGCAGCCAGCAGCGCCCAGCGCUAGCGCUCCGCGCGGCCUGCGCUCCCCACGCCGCAGCUAGGUGCCCCGGCCAACGCCCCCUCCCAACGGCAAGCCGGUGCCCCUCCGCGGCGUGCAGCCAUGGCUGCCAGCCCGCAGCCGCCGCGGUUCGUUACCCUGCUCGACCGGCCCUAGCCCUUGCGCGCGGUCGGCCUGCCAGCGCGGCGGCGCGACCAGCUAGCACUAUCGUCGUCAUGCUCGUGUCCUCGUCGCUCGUUCGGUGCGUCGUGCACGCAACAUGUCGUCGUACCUCGCCUCGUCUCGCCGUCGUCGCGAGGUAAGCCUCGCCUACCCCUUGCGCGUAAUUCAGAUGAGGUUCGCCCGACGACACGCAAAAUGCUAAUUACACGUUUUAAACAAAGUCAUUUCGUCAUGUCGUUUAGGCUAAAUAAUUAGUUAAUGGUGUGGUUAUCGGUUGUUAAAAAACAUGAGGUUCAAUCGAAUCUAGUUUAUAAUUUUAAUUAUGCGAUUAUAAAUACUUGGCAAUGUGAUUUUAACCACUUAGAUGUUGUAUUUAAUAUCUAUUUAGUGUUUGGUAUAAAAACAACAUUUAGUUAGUGAGUCUUGCAUGUGGUGGUGCGCGUCGCUCGUGCUGUUUGGCUCGUGCUAAUUCACAUGCUGUCCAUGUGUGUCGUCAUUCACACGAGUCGUUAUUCACGCACUUUAAUAAAAUUAUUUCGUCACAUCGUUCAUGUUAAAUAAUUAAUUACUUAUUUAGUGUCGGUUAUUUAAAAUAAUAGUUCAAUCAAACCAAAUUUAUAAUUUUAAUUACACGCUCGCAAAUACCUGUUAUUGCGAUUAUGCCAACUUAAAUGUAUAUCUAAUAUUGGUUUAAUAAAAAAACGAUACAAUUUAGUAGUAUUCGUAGACCAUGUCAUUUAUUAGCCGUGAUGUGCUAAUUAUUCAAUACGUUAUGUGUCGCAAUCCUGUUUUGACUCGUUUCGGACGUGUCAACUCCAUACCAGUGUUAAUUUCAUUUUACUAAUAUUAUUUUGUCACGACGUAAGUUUUAAUCAAAUAGUUAAUUAUUUGUUGUACAAUAUUUAUUAGAAUAACAAUUUGAAUAAAACUAAUUUCUAGUUUUUAUUCGCGCUUUUAUAGAUACAUAUUAAUAUGAUUACGUCUGCUCGAAUAUUUUUGAAUUAAUACUUGUUAGUAUAGACGUAUUGCAGCGUGUGUCGUCUCUUGUCGAUCAUGUGUGUCUCACGCGCUGUCCGCACGUUAUUUAAUUAUUUCUGUUAUUGUCGUUUGCGCUAAUUAGUCAAUUAUUGUUUAGUCGUUGGUUAUUUAAAAUAACAAUUCAAUUAGAACGAGUCUGUUUUAACACACGAUUUUAUAAAUAUAAAUGAUAAUUAACUUGAGUGAUACCAGUAUAAAUACUCUUACUUAAUUAUUUGUUUACUGUUGUUAGCACGUGGCAUCGUUCGCGCGUCAUCGUGUUGUUCGCGCGCAUAGUCGCGUUGACUCAGGUGUGACGAGCACUGUCAUGCGCGUUGUUUCGUGUGUCCGUAUGUUGUUCGGCAUGCUGUCGUGCAUCAUCACAUGUCAUCCACGUGUGUUGCGCGCGCCGUUUUCACGUGUCAUGUGCUAUCUGUGCGCUAGGUCGCGUGCGGGCGUGCUGUUUCACGCGUUACGUAUUUCGUCUCGCUCCGCUAAUUCGUCCCGCUUAGAGUUGCUGAUAUUAUUUAAAUUACUUAUUUAACUAAGAAUUACUAGUGUGGUCAGCUAAUUAAAAUUGUGUGAUAGCUAUAGUUUCAUUUUAAAUAAAUAUCGAUUAAUAUAAGCAGAUCAAACUAAAUGUUAUGACUAAUACUCGUUUAUUGUAGACGCGAUAACUUCUCGAUCGUAGCUUCGUCUGUCGCGUUUCUUUUUCCUUGCGUGAUCGUAGUAACACGCUCUAUUUCAUUUUGCAUAUUUUAUUAUGUUUCUAUUUGAAUGGUGUAAUGUUCUUAUGUAUAUAUGUUUGUUUGUUUGUGCCUGUUUGUAUUCGAUGUGCGUCGCGAAUAGAUUGCGAUCCGGUUCCAAGCUUCGAGGGAUCGAGGAUCAAGCGUUGGCGACCAAGUGAUAUAGCUUUACGAGUUCUACGAUACUAAAGACCCUGAGCAUCUGUUUGGUGAAGGCAAGUGUCCUCUGACCCAUUAUGUCCCAUUUACUUUAUAAUACACUGUCCCGCAUACUAUGAACAACCUAAGGAUUUACUAGCUUUCUAUUUACAUUGUCCUUGAUUUACCUUUUGGGUUACUAUGGUUAGCUACCUGCUAGCGCUUUACUUUAAUCAAUGAACAUGAUGAGAUACAAUGAUGAUACUAUGAUUUUAUUCUGGAUAUGAUGAUAUACUGGUGGCAUUUAGGGGACUCGGGCUGUUUCCCGAGUACCUCUCCGUAAGGACCUGUUCGUUGAGAGACCACCCGGGAUAACAGUGCAACCAUGAGGGUGAAAUGGGAUGCCCUUAGCUAACUAAUUAGAGGAACUAGAGGUGUAGUUGCUUCGCCGUCGUGCCGUCAAUGGGGUCCAGGCACAGUGCUUGCUCUGCCGAGGCUGGGUGCCGAGGUCCUUUCGUUUUGCUUUUGUUAGUCACCUUCCUGCGGGGAGGAGUACUGUGUUUAUCAAACUGGAGAAACCUAACGGGCGGCUAUGACCUCUAGGGAAUCUUUGUAAAAGCUACGUAGUGAUACCCUGCCGGACCACCUAGGAAGUGAUCAAUGGGGAGUCAUGAUCCCCGGGCAAAACGGGAAUCACGGCUCAUGGGUAAAGUGUGCGACCUCUGCAGAGGGUAAUGAAACUGAUAUAUCAGCCGUGCUCACGGUUAAGAGCGGCCUUGGGAUCCUCCUUGAUUAGAGAUACAUAUGAUCUAAGAUACAAUGGUUAUAUUUAUGUUUUGGUUCGAUGAUGAUAAUGAUGUUCCUCGAUGAGGAAAUGAUUCACAGGUUGGUUACAUGAUAAAACUUGGCUUCCACUAAUAAUAAAUACCUGACCAACUAAAAGCAACUGCUUGAGCUAAACCCCACAUAAAGCUAGUCCACCUCAGCCAAACGGGACAUUUGCUGAGUACGUUGAUGUGUACUCACCCUUGCUUUCACAAAACACCAGGUUGCCUUUGGUGCAAUCUAUGCUCAGGUAAAGAAGAAGGAGUCGAGGCGGAUCUCUAGGAGUUCCAGGACUUCGACGAGUUCGAGGAUUAGGCUAGCGACCUCCCCCAGUCAGCUGCCUGUGGUGGGUUUGUUUACGUUGGCUACGUUUCUAUUCUGUGUACUUUGAUUUGUGCUAUGUAAAUGACUCUAGUCUUUAAUAUUAUUACUCAUUCUAUAUUGUUAUUCGAAGCAUUGUGCUAUGAUGAGUCAUUUAUGUAAUCGCUGUGUACGUGAAUUUCUGAUCCUGGCACGUACAUGGUUCGCAUUCGGUUUACCUUCUAAAACCGGGUGUGACAUAAGUGGUAUCAAAGCCGUGCUGACUGUAGGACCGCUGACCUAGAGUAGCGUUGGCCGUUUUAAGGACUUAUUGACUAUUACUUCACCCCAUCCUUGGUUCUGCUUCAAAAUAUUAGUCACCUCGACUAAUUCUAUGUUGUGCUCCUAUAUGCCCCCUUGACAAAAGUAUUUUAUUCUAGUAUGGUUUAUACUUCUCUCAAUCUAUUAGAUCCGAUCUCACUCUUGUGCUUGCGAUAUCUUUGUAGAUGCCCCUUACCAUGACCUUCUAGUCUCUUGGGAUUCUUUCCUCUUCCAUCAUUAAGUUGCUGCCAUUUGACAAUCAUUAUUCCCUUGGUAUUGACAUGCUUUUGAUUCUUCCAUACCCUUAUUCCUUAAUUCAAACACUUAACCCUAAAAACUCUAUUGCCUAGUUAAACAUUUCAGUUUAUAUGUCCAUGACCUUCCUGUCUUUUGAGAACCUUUCCUAUUCUAUUGUUAAGUCGCUAUCUUUUGGCAAUUUGUACUCUCUUCGUCUUGGUAUGCUCGUACCAUUGGAAUCUUGCAUACUAAUAUUUUUAUAUAUGCUUACCUUCAUAUCCCAAUGAUUGUUCAAAAAAUUUCGGUUAAUAUGCCCUUGAUCAUCCUUGCUUCUUGAUGGUCCAUGAGCGACCCUUCUAUUUCGCACAUCCUUGACGAUCUCACCGUUUCCUCAUAACUUCCCUCGAUAAUAAUUUUUGUUACUUCAACCAUUCUGUUGGGACCUUACCUAUCUCACCCUUGAUUGUCUUAUCCACUUCGCCACUUCGAGAGUCUUGCCUUAACUCUAUCCUGGGUUAUGAUUUCACGAUCAUCAUCUUUACCCUUGUCGCCUCUAUAUCUUACCUUGAUGCUUAUAUUAUACCCGUCCUUUAAAAACCUUCUCUCUGCCAUCUCAAUUUUAUAGUUGUAGUUUACCUAUUUUCCCUUGGUCGUAUUCUCUUCCUUAUCGCUUGCGAGUUUUUAACUCCAUCCCUUGUCGUGCUCCAGUUGGGUAUUACCUUUACCUUUCUCAUCCCUCGAUCUUACCUUUAACUACACUAUGUCCGUUCUCUAAAAUCUUCAAUCUCAUAUCUCAAUGUGAGAGCGAUGUUUUACUUAUCUUAUCCUUGGCAAUAUCCUCUUCUUUUCCGCGUGUAAGCCUUGACAUACCUCCAUUCUUUAUUGUGCUUAUACCACUCGCUCUUCUAAGUCUUCAUCUUUUCUCCUAUACUCUUGUCUGUUAUCGCCUUUGGCCCUUGCGAUAUUUAUGUCUUCUACCUAAAUGCUUACCUUGAACUUAUCCUUUAAAGCCUCUCCUUUAUUUUGAGAAAGUUUGAGGGUUGUGAUUUACCUAUCUCUCCCUUGAAUUCUUGUCACUUCGUGUCGCCUUACAAGUUUUGUGUUAAUUCCAUCCUUUGUUGUGUUUUAUUUGCUAUCACCAUCACCUUGUCAUCCAUCGAUCUUGCCUUAUACUCAUCUGUAUUCCCACUCUAAAAAAAUCUCCUCUCUUCCACCUCAAUUUGAGAGUGGCAGAUUACCUUUCUGGCCCAAGGACGUACCCUCUCCUUUUCCAUUUGCAGGUCUUGUCUUAACUCCAUCCUUUGUGGUAUUUAUAUUCUUGGUUCUUAUGCACAUUUACCUCCUCUCUUACAUCCUUGUCCGUUAUCACCUUUAAACCCUCAUGAUACCUAUGCCCUUGCCACAUGCCUACUUUUAACCUACCCUUUAAAGCCACCUCUCUUUCAUCGCUGUUUGAGAAUAAUACCUCACCUACUUCACCAUUGAUUGCUUCCCCUUCUUUGAUGCCUCUCAAGUUUUGUCUAAAAUAUAUCCUUGGUUGGAUUCUCUCCCUUGGCGGUUACAAUCAUUACUUUAGCUCCAUCCUUUAUUAUGCUCAUGCCCCUAUCCUCCAUGUCUUAUUAUUUCUCCUUGCCUUUUGUUGGCCUUAGAGUAGUUUCCUUUUUUAAGGAAAGACCACCAUUUAAUUAAAAGGAACAUAUAACAUCGAGAUGUUGGUGGUUGUAUGCUUGUGAUGUUUGUCUUUGUGUGAUGACCGAUUUGCUUCUUUGUGAUGAGUGUUGUUGUGUUGUGGCCUUUGGUCCGCAAUGACAUCAGUUUACUAGUUGGGUGCUCUCCCUUUUCUCUCUUUAAUCCAUUUAUGCUUACCUUUUCUAUCUUACCUUUUCUAUCUAUACUCUUUCCUCUUGCACCUGUCCAGUUUGCAACCUCCAACCUCUCUCAAUCAAUCAAGACCAGAGUCGACAGCAUCUUUAUCAAGUGCGUAUCAACGCUUCUGUUAAGGGGGUUAGUCGCUAACCCCAAUGAAGACAAUGUGAAUAACAUCAGCCAACAAGAUCAGAGUGGUGUAGCGAAAGCGUGUGUGGGUCCUAACCCACAGGUCCAAGGGAUCCUCAAGAAUUGUAUCGAUUGGUCUCAAGCGCCUGAAGGUCAAAGCAUCCAGUCCGCAAGCUAAGCUUGCAAAGUCAAAGUCAACUCAAGAAAGCCGUGAACAACGGAUGAACCAACCUUGUUUCUCUUGCUAGCUUCUUGAAUCUCGAGGGCGAGAUUCUGUUAAGGGGGUUAGAUUUGUAACACCCUGAAUUUGGGGGUAUAAAAUUUCUUUCCUAAUAUCCACCAAAUUCAGGUGUUACCCUCUUCUUCCUUUGCCUUUCUUUAUCUUUUCAAAGCAGUGAAGGAAUAUUUUGCUUUUAUGUAAGUAUUAGAUGUAUUAAUGAAACUCUAAAAGGGUUUUUUUGAUAGUUGCAUCACAUGCUGGAGCAUUAAUUUUGUUUGUUGUUGAUUGAGUUAAAAGAGUGUUACUAUUUAAUUUAUUCUCUUUUUGUGAAGCCCAACUUAAUUAAUAAUAGAAAUUUACCUAAAAAUAUCUAUUGAAUAUUUUAUUUGAAAAUAUUAUUAUUUCAAAUUAUUAUAUUUUUUCAUAUUUAGAAAGACAUAUUUAUUCAUAUAUUUCGAAUAACUUAUGUGAAAAAAAGAAAAGAAAAGGGAAUUUCGAAAUAAAUAAAUAAAAGAAGAAAAAAAAGAAAUCUAAAAAAACAACCGUCCGGGGGCAAGUCCACCCCACGUGCGCGCAUGUAGGCAUGCAGCGGCUAGCGCCCACGCACGCUAACGCCCAGCCGCUCCCACGAUCUCUCCUCGCGCCCGCGCGUCAGGUGCAUGCAGGAGCCCAAGCGCGUCAUCUCUCCCACGAAAAGAAAACUACCUAGCCGUCCAUCUCUCUCUCUGUGAUACCCGGUUUGCAAAGAAGAGAAGUUGAAGGUUAUUCUUUUUGUUUGUUUUUUCUCUUAUUCGGGUGUCGCGCUUUGGGGAUUUAGAAUUUGUGGAAAUCAUUCACCAGUAUAGCAGUAGAGUGGUUGGUCGGGAGCUGUCGUGCAAGCGAGUUGGGCCGCGAAUCGCAAUCCGGCCCACUAACCCUCCCCCUAACCCUAGCCGCCCCCCUUUUUCCCCCUUGGGUUGUUGCAGCCGCCCCUUCCCCUCCCCUUUCUCUUGGACGCCCCCCCUCUCCCAUCUUCUUCCUCCUCAAACCUUUGCAGCCCUCACCACCCAAAACCCUAGCCGCCCCCCCCCCCCCCCAUUUCUCCCCCUCCUCCAAGGUGCAGCCCUCCCGUGUGGUUCUCCGUCGUGUGGCUGCGAUCUCAAUUGGAGUUUGGAGGGAGGAAGAAGGAAGGAGGAAGGGAAGAACCUAAGGUGAAUUUGUGAUUAACUUUUGUUGUUUUUGUGCUGCAAUCAAUUGGAUUAUGUGUUUAUCUUUGCGAAUCGGUAGAGGUGCUGUCCAGGAAUUUUGUGAGUGGGUGAACAGCAGUAGUUCUAGGGAUUUCUGGGAAUUUUCGUGGGGUAAUUAGUGGGAAUCAGUGGGAUAAUCAUGUAGAGCUUUGUCAUACCUUUCCAACGAGUACUUAUGCGCUCGAUUCGGAGUUAUAAUUUAGGAGAUAUCGUUGUUUGAAUCCGGGUAUAUUGCUGUCCAAAAAAACAGAUUUUUCAGGUGGGUGAACAGCAGUAGUAUUAGCAGUUUCUGGGAAUUUUUCGUGGGUAAUUAGUAUUAACCAGUAUUAUAAUCAUGUAGGGCUUUGUCUUAUCUUUCCAAUGAGUACUUAUGUGCUUGAUUUGGAAUUAUAUUUUAAAAGAUAUCGCUGUUUGAAUCCGGGUAUGUUGCUGUAAAAAAAACAGAUUUUUCAGGUGGGUGAACAGCAGUAGUAUUAGCAAUUUCUGGGAAUUUUUCGUGGUUAAUUAGUGCUAACCAGUAUGAUAAUCAUGUAUGGCUUUGUCUUAUCUUUCCAAUGAGUACUUAUGCGCUUGAAUUGGAAUUAUAUUUUAAAAGUUAUCGCUGUUUGAAUCCGGGUAUGUCGCUGUCCAAAAGAGAAAAAAACAGAUUACAGGGUUCAUCUUGUGAACUGUUUUGGGCUAAUUAGAUGUUGGAGUUUAAUUAUAAAUUGUAUACAAAACUUGUGGGGAAUUUUAUGUAGAUGCCUCUGGAGUUUUUGUUUGUUACCAAUGCUGUCAUAAUUUUGAAGUUAUGAAAUUAUUAAGCAGCGCCGCUGCAGUUUGGUGGGUGUGGGGAGAGAUGUAACCCGCGGCGGGGUUUGAGUUUGUGCGUAGGUGCGGCGUCGUUUAUGAGCCUGGUUAUGUGAAAUUGGUGCACUAAGUUGUGUGUCAAAAACAGGUGGUGGACUUCCGGAUCGUACUUAGGGAUUUGCCCAAACUUCCGGUAAAGGCAAGUAAAUACAGUGGUGGUUGCUACCGUUUGGUUUGCAUCCUAUUCCCUGUCAUUGAGUAUGCAUAAGUUUUAAAUAUGUUAAUCAUUGAAUUCUAUGAUGAAGUUUAUUUGUUCGAAAGUAUUAAUUCUCAAUUGUCUAAUAUUGUGGAUGAUCAUGAUUUGGUAAUGAUAUAUGUGGUUGAUUCCUAUCAUGGAUGGAGUUGAAGUAUUUUUAUUUGAAUCACGUUAUAUGAAGUGUUGUAGGCAUGUCAUGCACAUUGCAUCAUCCAUCUUGCAUUCUGAAGUUAUGUCGUGAUCUUAUGGUCCGACUGUACCGGUACAUUUUUAGCAUCGUACGUUGUCCGAGGAGGGGUACGAUGCGGCUUCAUAUCCUUAGAGGUAUGAAGGCAGAAGUCAUCCUUGCAUUUGCAGACAUUUGCACUCAUGAGGUAUAUAUAUGAAGAGUGACAUUACUAUGUUACUAUUGUGGUUUCUACCUGCGAGGUGUGGUAGCUAGGAGUGUUGUACGUUGUAUACGUGCUGCACCUUUGUAAUAAGAAGGUUGUGAAAUCAAGUGGUGGUAAAACAAUAUUCUUAUGUGGUUAAACAGUUUGAUAUUAUUUUACUUGCUGAGAUGUGUCAUCUCACUCUUGCAUUACUCAAUGCAGGUACUUGAUAUAUGUUGGGAAUGAGGGGAGUAGCAGCACGUCCACUUUCACUCUCAUAAUAGCGCUGCCCAGGCGUAGCCAUGAUUUAAUUAGAAACUUGUUGUCAAAAGAAGUUAUUUUUUUUUGCUAGUCGUGCGCACUGGUUAAUUCAGUUCAUGUCGUAUGUUUAACUUCCCUUUGCUAGCCGAUUAAUAAUACUUGGUAUGUUUUUGUCAUGAUAUAUGUUUAUACAUUGUUGUCCCCCCCCCUCAUUUAUGCAAUUUUGCAAAGGAGAUGCUGCCAAAAUUUUAUAUAGAUGUCAGAAGUGUAGUUCAGUAGCAUUCCGGGGUGUUUGUGGAUCCCGGGGUGUUACAGUUGGUAUCAGAGGAUAGGCUUUAGAUUCUACGCAAUUUGAAGAUAAAUUUGACACACUUGCACAUAUAGGAAGGGU
rnacentral:lncRNA from 1 species